UUUAUGGAGAGUUUGAUCCUGGCUCAGAGUGAACGCUGGCGGCGUGCCUAAUACAUGCAAGUCGAACGAUGAAGCUUCUAGCUUGCUAGAAGUGGAUUAGUGGCGCACGGGUGAGUAACGCAUAGGUCAUGUGCCUCUUAGUUUGGGAUAGCCAUUGGAAACGAUGAUUAAUACCAGAUACUCCCUACGGGGGAAAGAUUUAUCGCUAAGAGAUCAGCCUAUGUCCUAUCAGCUUGUUGGUAAGGUAAUGGCUUACCAAGGCUAUGACGGGUAUCCGGCCUGAGAGGGUGAACGGACACACUGGAACUGAGACACGGUCCAGACUCCUACGGGAGGCAGCAGUAGGGAAUAUUGCUCAAUGGGGGAAACCCUGAAGCAGCAACGCCGCGUGGAGGAUGAAGGUUUUAGGAUUGUAAACUCCUUUUGUUAGAGAAGAUAAUGACGGUAUCUAACGAAUAAGCACCGGCUAACUCCGUGCCAGCAGCCGCGGUAAUACGGAGGGUGCAAGCGUUACUCGGAAUCACUGGGCGUAAAGAGCGCGUAGGCGGGAUAGUCAGUCAGGUGUGAAAUCCUAUGGCUUAACCAUAGAACUGCAUUUGAAACUACUAUUCUAGAGUGUGGGAGAGGUAGGUGGAAUUCUUGGUGUAGGGGUAAAAUCCGUAGAGAUCAAGAGGAAUACUCAUUGCGAAGGCGACCUGCUGGAACAUUACUGACGCUGAUUGCGCGAAAGCGUGGGGAGCAAACAGGAUUAGAUACCCUGGUAGUCCACGCCCUAAACGAUGGAUGCUAGUUGUUGGAGGGCUUAGUCUCUCCAGUAAUGCAGCUAACGCAUUAAGCAUCCCGCCUGGGGAGUACGGUCGCAAGAUUAAAACUCAAAGGAAUAGACGGGGACCCGCACAAGCGGUGGAGCAUGUGGUUUAAUUCGAAGAUACACGAAGAACCUUACCUAGGCUUGACAUUGAGAGAAUCCGCUAGAAAUAGUGGAGUGUCUAGCUUGCUAGACCUUGAAAACAGGUGCUGCACGGCUGUCGUCAGCUCGUGUCGUGAGAUGUUGGGUUAAGUCCCGCAACGAGCGCAACCCCCUUUCUUAGUUGCUAACAGGUUAUGCUGAGAACUCUAAGGAUACUGCCUCCGUAAGGAGGAGGAAGGUGGGGACGACGUCAAGUCAUCAUGGCCCUUACGCCUAGGGCUACACACGUGCUACAAUGGGGUGCACAAAGAGAAGCAAUACUGCGAAGUGGAGCCAAUCUUCAAAACGCCUCUCAGUUCGGAUUGUAGGCUGCAACUCGCCUGCAUGAAGCUGGAAUCGCUAGUAAUCGCAAAUCAGCCAUGUUGCGGUGAAUACGUUCCCGGGUCUUGUACUCACCGCCCGUCACACCAUGGGAGUUGUGUUUGCCUUAAGUCAGGAUGCUAAAUUGGCUACUGCCCACGGCACACACAGCGACUGGGGUGAAGUCGUAACAAGGUAACCGUAGGUGAACCUGCGGUUGGAUCACCUCCUUUCUAGA
rnacentral:rRNA from 1 species